GUGGGGAAUAUUGCACAAUGGGCGAAAGCCUGAUGCAGCAACGCCGCGUGAGGGAUGACGGCCUUCGGGUUGUAAACCUCUUUUAGUAGGGAAGAAGCGAAAGUGACGGUACCUGCAGAAAAAGCACCGGCUAACUACGUGCCAGCAGCCGCGGUAAUACGUAGGGUGCAAGCGUUGUCCGGAAUUAUUGGGCGUAAAGAGCUCGUAGGCGGUUUGUCGCGUCUGCUGUGAAAUCCCGAGGCUCAACCUCGGGUCUGCAGUGGGUACGGGCAGACUAGAGUGUGGUAGGGGAGAUUGGAAUUCCUGGUGUAGCGGUGGAAUGCGCAGAUAUCAGGAGGAACACCGAUGGCGAAGGCAGAUCUCUGGGCCAUUACUGACGCUGAGGAGCGAAAGCAUGGGGAGCGAACAGG
rnacentral:rRNA from 1 species